GCUCACACACGUUGGAUUUGCUGAUGGUCUCCACAGAUCCUUCAUGGCUUCAAGGAGCAGGUCGGGGAGGAGAACUGGCAGCAGUUUUCAGAGCAGUUCCCCCCACUGCUAAAGGAGAGACUGGCAGCCUGCUACGGCGUUUAGGUUCUCCACACCCACCCAAUAGGUGAGCCAGCAGGAGGAGGGUGAAUGGGAAACUCAUCCAUCUGUGUAUUGCACGGCCCUGAUCUGGGGGGAGGGAGAGGGACGCUUUUGGCCGCUCCCCCUGAUGGACGGCCCCCACGCCCUAUGUGUUUGUCCAUAGAGGGAGGGUGCGCGGGUGGGAGGGAGGGACAGGGGGGACACCUCUAGAUUAACUAGGCAGGGACCUGACACAGAAAAACAAAAAACAAAACAACAACUAACUGGUAGGGACAGAUAGAGGAGGAGACCAGCUGGAAAAGAGAGCAGCACAGAGAAAAGUUCAGGGACAGACAGGGAGGGGAUUCACUAACAAGGCAGGGACAGCAGGCAGGAGGAAAGCUUGUUUCCUGGCUGGAACGACAGGGAAAGUUAGGAUUUUAAUGGGAUUCUUAAACUUAAACGAGUAGCUGGUUGCUCAAUAGACUCACAGACAUUAAGUUGUACAUGCAGUACCUGGGACAGACUGUGGGUGGCACUGUGGUUUAGACUUUUUACAGACCUACUACACGUAGCUAGGGACAGACAGGUAAAAAAAA